rnacentral:rRNA from 1 species
UUUUUUCCCGGUUUUUUUCUCCGGAGGUCAUUGCUAUUGGAGUCCGAUUUAGCCAUGCUAGUUGCACGAGUUCAGGCUCGUAGCAGAUAGCUCAGUAACACGUGGCCAAACUACCCUAUGGAUCCGAAUAACCUCGGGAAACUGAGGCUAAUGUGGAAUAGCGUUCAUUGCCUGGAGUGGCACGAACGCGAAACGUUACGGCGCCAUAGGAUGUGGCUGCGGCCGAUUAGGUAGACGGUGGGGUAACGGCCCACCGUGCCCAUAAUCGGUACGGGUUGUGAGAGCAAGAGCCCGGAGACGGUAUCUGAGACAAGAUACCGGGCCCUACGGGGCGCAGCAGGCGCGAAACCUUUACACUGCACGCGAGUGCGAUAAGGGGACUCCGAGUGCGAGGGCAUAUAGUCCUCGCUUUUCACGACCGUAAGGAGGUCGUAGAAUAAGUGCUGGGCAAGACCGGUGCCAGCCGCCGCGGUAAUACCGGCAGCACGAGUGAUGACCGCUAUUAUUGGGCCUAAAGCGUCCGUAGCUGGCCACGCAAGUCUAUCGGGAAAUCCGCGCGCUUAACGCGCGGGCGUCCGGUGGAAACUGCGUGGCUUGGGACCGGAAGACCAGAGGGGUACGUCCGGGGUAGGAGUGAAAUCCCGUAAUCCUGGACGGACCACCGGUGGCGAAAGCGCCUCUGGAAGACGGAUCCGACGGUGAGGGACGAAAGCUCGGGUCACGAACCGGAUUAGAUACCCGGGUAGUCCGAGCUGUAAACGAUGUCUGCUAGGUGUGGCACAGGCUACGAGCCUGUGCUGUGCCGUAGGGAAGCCGUGAAGCAGACCGCCUGGGAAGUACGUCCGCAAGGAUGAAACUUAAAGGAAUUGGCGGGGGAGCACUACAACCGGAGGAGCCUGCGGUUUAUUGA